GAUCUUAGUUAAUGAAGAAACAUAGAUGUGAUAGUAGAUUGAUGAUCAAUCUAGUCUGGAGUGUACUGAGUGGAUUAAAAAAUAAUGUGUUAGCGGCAAUUUGGUUAACUUGUUCGGUGAACCAUGGUUUUCAGAUUAUUGUCGUGAUGAGGUUCAUAACUGCGAAGCUGAUGCAACUAGUUGUAUAAAACCUGCAUAUUACUUCAAGUGUAGGAGGACCUGCGGAUGUAAAGGUAAUUGUCAGGAUGGAGAUUCAGUUUGUUUCAAGAUUCCGGAUAGAUGUUUAAGUACCAAUGGAAACUGUUAUCGAUUCUGUGGACUAUGUGACGGUUGUGAAAAUUUAAUUAAAGAUGAGUUAUGUAAGGAACUUCGAUAUUUGUGCCACGUGGAAAACGUAAAAUAUUUUUGUGCUGGAACCUGCAAUAAGUGUAAAUAUGAAUGUAGAAAUAAAGUGGCUUAUACUGCUGUUUGCAAUAACUUUAAGGCAAAAGGCUAUUGCAAAAUGGAUAAUAGACAUAGUUACAUUAUUAGAAAGAUUUGUGCCAAGGCUUGUGAGUCAGAAUAUUGUGGAGGUUUUUACGAUCAGUGUUGAAACUUUUCACUUAUGUAAUAUAAAAUAAAGGCACAAUAAUA
rnacentral:misc_RNA from 1 species